rnacentral:rRNA from 1 species
AAAGGAGGAUAAUAAGUGGCAGACGGGUGAGUAAGGCAUAGGAAUCUACCUAGUAGAAUGGAAUAGCCACUAAAAAUGGGGGAUAAUACUGAAUAAUCCCUGCGGGGGAAAAAUGUAUCGCUAUUAAAUGAGCCUAUGUUAAAUUACCUAGUUGGAAGGGUAAAGGCCUACCAAGACAAUGAUCUAUAGCUGGCCUGAAAGGAUGAUCAACCACACUGGAACUGAAAUACGGCCCAAACUCCUACGGAAGGCAGCAGGGGGGAAUAUUGGACAAGGGGCGCAAGCCUGAUCCAGCUAUGCCGCGUGAGGGAGGAAGGCCUUAGGGUUGUAAAACUCUUUCAGAAGGGAAAAUAAUGACGGAACCUACAAAAAAAGUCCCGGCAAACUCCGGGCCAGCAGCCGCGGAAAUACGGAGGGGGCAAGCGUUGUUCGGAAUUAUUGGGCGUAAAGGGCAUGUAGGCGGUUCGGUAAGUUAAAGGUGAAAUGCCAGGGCUUAACCCUGGAGCUGCUUUUAAUACUGCCAAACUAAAGCCCGGAAAAGGAUACCGGAAUUCCUAGGGUAAAGGGGAAAUUCGUAAAUAUUAGGAGGAACACCAGUGGCGAAGGCGGCUAUCUGGUCCGGUACUGACGCUGAGGGGCGAAACCGGGGGGAGCAAACAGGAUUAAAUACCCUGGAAGUCCACGCUGUAAACGAUGAGGGCUGAAUGUGGGGAUUUUUUAUCUCUGUGUUGAAGCUAACGCGUUAAGCACUCCCCCUGGGAACUACGGCCGCAAAACUAAAAAUCAAAGGAAUUGACGGGGACCCGCACAAGCGGGGGAAGCAUGGGGUUUAAUUCAAUGCAACGCGAAAAACCUAAACUCUCCUUGGAAAC